CACUGCUGACAACAAAAUGUAAAUACUACGGGGACUGCUCUUCGGCUGCCUUUUAUUCCAGAAAAGAGCCUUGGGAACGCCCAUCCACCACAAGGGGGCCACCUUGAGUCACGUCUCUCAGGAAGUUCUAGCAGUAAGCAGGAAUAAGAGAGGCCAUUUAUAAUCGUCUACUGAAAUGCCAUUGACAGGAAGCAGUCACACCGUGGCACAGAAGAGAAAAGCUAGCAUACAGAAAGGACUGGAAAAAACCAUGUCAAUAUAGGUCGGCCACGUUCCUCCGCAGCAGCUCCGUCUCGUCUUCCACCAGCUGCAGGUGCUGCCGCAGCUCCGACAGGGACUCG